GACGAAGGGGGCUAGCGUUGUUCGGAAUUACUGGGCGUAAAGCGCGCGCAGGCGGUUUUCCAAGUCAGUGGUGAAAGCCCGGAGCUCAACUCCGGAAAUGCCAUUGAAACUGCAAAACUUGAGUACGAGAGAGGUGAGUGGAAUUCCCAGUGUAGAGGUGAAAUUCGUAGAUAUUGGGAAGAACACCGGUGGCGAAGGCGGCUCACUGGCUCGUAACUGACGCUCAGGCGCGAUAGCGUGGGGAUCAAACAGG
rnacentral:rRNA from 1 species